UUUCAGAUCUCUGCUCCAGUAACUGUCUGUGGUGUUACAGAUCUCUGCUCCAGUAACUGUCUGUGUUGUUACAGAUCUCUGCUCCAGUAACUGUCUGUGGUAUUUCAGAUCUCUGCUGUGGUAACUGCUGACAUCUAUCACACUUAUUGCCAAGUCACCCAGUCUAAUGCCAAGUCACCCAGUCUAAUGCCAAGUCACCCAGUCUAAUGCCAAGUCACCCAGGUUGAGAUGCCAAGUCACCCAGGUUGAGAUGCCAAGUCACCCAGGUUGAGAUGCCAAGUCACCCAGGUUGAGAUGCCAAGUCACCCAGGUUGAGAUGCCAAGUCACCCAGGUUGAGAUGCCAAGUCACCCAGUCUAAUGCCAAGUCACCCAGGUUGAGAUGCCAAGUCACCCAGUCUAAUGCCAAGUCACCCAGUCUAAUGCCAAGUCACCCAGGUUGAGAUGCCAAGUCAGCCAGGUUGAGAUGCCAAGUCACCCAGGUUGAGAUGCCAAGUCAGCCAGUCUAAUGCCAAGUCACCCAGGUUGAGAUGCCAAGUCAGCCAGGUUGAGAUGCCAAGUCACCCAGGUUGAGAUGCCAAGUCACCCAGGUUGAGAUGCCAAGUCAGCCAGUCUAAUGCCAAGUCACCCAGGUUGAGAUGCCAAGUCAGCCAGGUUGAGAUGCCAAGUCACCCAGGUUGAGAUGCCACGACAAACAUUAUCCAUGUAGUUCCCUUUGAGUUGUCUUUACGUUUCCUCUUAGUUUGACCAACAACACUUGCUUUCUAUCUAUUUACCGUUACUAUGCCAUCUGUACAACGUUACAACGCCAUCUGUACAACGUUACAACGCCAUCUGUACAACGUUACAGUGCCUUUGGCCACAUAGGUCUACAUAACCUACUGGCUCAAUAUCUUGAAUGAGAGAGAGCCAGCCUGGUAGGCCAGAUUAAGGUUUAUAUAACAUUACGCCAUGGGCCAUAGGUUUAUAUAACAUUACAAUGACAUUGGUUUAUAUGAACUCCAACAUUUGAUGUGCAGCUUUGUUUAGUGGUGUUGUUGGUAUCACAGUAUAUUCUGUGUUUAGUGGGGGUUAUUGGGAUCCCAGUAUAUUCUGUGUUUAGUGGGGGUCGUUGGGGUUGUUGGGAUCGCAGUAUAUUCUGUGUUUAGUGGGGUUGUUGGGAUCACAGUAUAUUCUGUGUUUAGUGGGGUUGUUGGGAUCACAGUAUAUUCUGUGUUUAGUGGGGUUGUUGGGAUCACAGUAUAUUCUGUGUUUAGUGGGGGUCGUUGGGGUCGUUGGGAUCGCAGUAUAUUCUGUGUUUAGUGGGGUCGUUGGGAUCGCAGUAUAUUCUGUGUUUAGUGGGGUCGUUGGGGUCGUUGGGAUCGCAGUAUAUUCUGUGUUUAGUGGGGGUCGUUGGGAUCGCAGUAUAUUCUGUGUUUAGUGGGGGUCGUUGGGGUCGUUGGUAUCACAGUAUAUUCUGUGUUUAGUGGGGGUUAUUGGGAUCCCAGUAUAUUCUGUGUUUAGUGGGGGUCGUUGGGGUCGUUGGGAUCGCAGUAUAUUCUGUGUUUAGUGGGGGUCGUUGGGAUCGCAGUAUAUUCUGUGUUUAGUGGGGUUGUUGGGAUCACAGUAUAUUCUGCGAAUAAAUGCAAUUAGUCUCGCUGAGGAUGAUGGGAUUUUAUAUCAGAUAUGUUGCAGAAGCUUUGAUUCUGUGAUGACUGAAAUGGAGAAUUUAUUUUACCCUCCAAUCGUUUUAUUUUAUUUUGCAAAUGUUUGUUUUUUUAAAUUGUAAAAUGAAUGUUUCUAUCGAAUAUUACUCUUGUAUAAUAUAGCCCUUUACACUCAUAUCUGUAUACAGGAUGAAACGGCAGAUUUGGGCACCUAGGUUGGAACGCAGUGACUGUCCAGUCACAUGACAGUCACAUGACAGUCACAUGACAGUCACAUGACAGACAUGUCAGAGGCUCUGUACUUCACAGCUCUGUGUUCUGACUGACAGCUGUUCUGAACAUGACCACCCCACUCAACAACAAGUUAGUUGCCCCCAUCUCUCCAGGUAAUUGGGCAACUUUCUGUCGUCUGAUUGAGGUUAAAGCUGUAAAUUAAGAGGUGUUUUUAUGUAUUUUGAAAGAUGAGAUGUUGAGGAUUAUAAUGAAUACCGCUUUGAUGUCACACAAGCAAACCAAACACCUGUUGAGUCCAAAUGUGGACUUGAUAUUUUCAUAUCAUAAAGCUCAUGUCACAUAGUGUCCAUGUUUAGAAUCACUGUUGUUUGAUGUACAGCUACAAGAUGACAUGGUUAAAAAACCAGGCUUUCAGUUCAAGCCCACCUGACCCAGGUUGAGAUUCAUAAUGGACUGUUUCUGGACUGGGUGAAACAACAACAGUCAUUGUGUGACGGUGGGGAUGCAGGGUUGUGUUUCAAGACGAAAGAACAAGUGUCCUCUAGUUCCUCACAGCUGGGAGAGGAGGAAAAACGCCUGAUAGCUGAAGACUGUUCGUUGAGUCAUAAAAGUGCAUUGAAAUGUCUUGUGAACUGUGGAGAGGUGUGUUGCCACUUGGAUACACCCCAGGUAGUCUUCUCACUCAGACCCUUGUAAUCGUUUUGUCUUGUGUUUCAUCUACCCCACGUUUUCCAGGAAUAUUCUUAUUAACAUGUUACUGAAUGUAUCCAGAGUAUUUUCAGAUUUCGUGAUCAACAAAUGGGGUGAAAAGUACAGAAAAAUGUAAAAAGAGCAUAAAACCAACCGUGUGAUGUUUAGAUUCAGUCUUGUCAGGUGAACUUUGGUCUGAUGAUUCUCCCAUAAGUUCCAGUGAUUCAUUUCAAUUGCUACCAUGGUAAUAAAUAUGCUUUUCGUAUUUCUAGUGUCAGAAACAUUUAAAUGUGGCCCUAUCCAUUUUGGCCGUUACACUGCUGGGAACUUAAGACUUGUUGCCAUGAAUUUAAAUACGCCUCUGUUUUGAUCAGUAGAAAACCUUUUAAUUGACAAUUUCACUUUCAAGCAACAAUAAAACCCCACAAAGAUCAAGAUUUGUUAUUUGGGUUGUUUAGUGUUUUUGAGGUUUCUGUUAGUAGCUAAACCAGAUUAUACACUGAGUGUACAAAA